CAAAAUGUAGCUUAACAAAAGCCCCUCGCUUACACCGAGACGAUAUCUGUUAAACCCGGAUCAUUUUGA
rnacentral:tRNA from 1 species